rnacentral:rRNA from 1 species
AUUGAACGCUGGCGGCAGGCCUAACACAUGCAAGUCGAGCGGAUGAAGGGAGCUUGCUCCUGGAUUCAGCGGCGGACGGGUGAGUAAUGCCUAGGAAUCUGCCUGGUAGUGGGGGAUAACGUCCGGAAACGGGCGCUAAUACCGCAUACGUCCUGAGGGAGAAAGUGGGGGAUCUUCGGACCUCACGCUAUCAGAUGAGCCUAGGUCGGAUUAGCUAGUUGGUGGGGUAAAGGCCUACCAAGGCGACGAUCCGUAACUGGUCUGAGAGGAUGAUCAGUCACACUGGAACUGAGACACGGUCCAGACUCCUACGGGAGGCAGCAGUGGGGAAUAUUGGGCAAUGGGCGAAAGCCUGAUCCAGCCAUGCCGCGUGUUUGAAGAAGGUCUUCGGAUUGUAAAGCACUUUAAGUUGGGAGGAAGGGCAGUAAGUUUAUACCUUGCUGUUUUGACGUUACCAACAGAAUAAGCACCGGCUAACUUCGUG